rnacentral:lncRNA from 10 species
CCACAGUGCCAAACACAAGGAGGGGCUCCAGGGGCCGCGAUAAAGGCGAAGAAGAGGCUUAGCAGGAACGAAGGCCUGAUGUUGUUCCACCACCGAGACAUCCUGGACUCAUGAAUGGAUUCAGGAUCACCAAGGAGAUUUCUUGUACAGGUGAACCAACUCUUGGCUGCCCAUUCCUCUGCAGAGUCCUCCCUCCCUCAGGGCACCCUCCCCUUCUCCACUAACUACCACACCCAGGGAAGCAGAAGCCAGUUGUCACUAUGAUGCAUAAAGUCCCAUCUCCAGGUUACAUAGCCGAAUUGUUUGAGAAGUUCUUCCCUUAUUAGUCGAAAGGGCAGGAAAGGCAGAUCUUGGGGGAAGAGACAAGAGAAACAGCCAUUCAGAAAAAAGAAAGAUCAUCGCUGCUUCUCACACCAACCGGUGCUCAUUUUAUCUCAGGGAAACACUCAUAAGCCUAAAAUGUACACAUCAUGAUGACCGUUCCUCAAAAUAAGGAAACUAAGGCUUAGAGGGUAACUUUUCCAGCCAGAUGUGUGGUGGCUCACACCUGUAACCCCAGCGCCUUGGGAGGCCGAGACAGGUGGAUCACUAGAGGCCAGGAGUUUGAGACCAGCCUGGCCAACAUAUAGUAAAACCCUGUCUCUACCAAAAAUACAAAAAUUAGCCGGGUGUGGUGGUGGGCACCUGCAGUCCCAGCUACUCGGGAGGCUGAGGCAGGAGAAUCGCUUGAAACCCGGAGGCGGAGACUGCAGUGAGCAGAGAUCACGCCUCUGCACUCCAGCCUGGGCGACAGAGCGAGACUCUGUCUCAAAAAAACAGAGAAUAUCUUUUCCAAGAUCUUACAGUGGACCAUA